CCUACGGGGGGCAGCAGUGAGGAAUAUUGGUCAAUGGACGAGAGUCUGAACCAGCCAAGUAGCGUGAAGGAUGACUGCCCUAUGGGUUGUAAACUUCUUUUAUAUGGGAAUAAAAUGUUCCACGUGUGGGAUUUUGUAUGUACCAUAUGAAUAAGGAUCGGCUAACUCCGUGCCAGCAGCCGCGGUAAUACGGAGGAUCCGAGCGUUAUCCGGAUUUAUUGGGUUUAAAGGGAGCGUAGGUGGUUUGUUAAGUCAGUUGUGAAAGUUUGCGGCUCAACCGUGAAAUUGCAGUUGAAACUGGCAGUCUUGAGUACAGUAGAGGUGGGCGGAAUUCGUGGUGUAGCGGUGAAAUGCUUAGAUAUCACGAAGAACUCCGAUUGCGAAGGCAGUUCACUGGACUGCAACUGACACUGAGGCUCGAAAGUGUGGGUAUCAAACAGGAUUAGAUACCCCUGUAGUC
rnacentral:rRNA from 1 species